rnacentral:rRNA from 1 species
GGACUACUGGGGUUUCUAAUCCUGUUUGCUCCCCACGCUUUCGUUGUUCAGUGUCAGUUACUAUCCAGUUCGCCGCCUUCGCCGCUGAUGUUCCUCCUGAUCUCUACGCAUUUCACCGCUACACCAGGAAUUCCACGAACCUCUCUAGUACUCUAGUUACGCCGUUUCCAAGGCACGUCCUGAGUUGAGCUCAGGGAUUUCACCCCAGACAUACGUAACCACCUACCAACCCUUUACGCCCAAUAAUUCCGAGCAACGCUUGCACCCUUCGUAUUACCGCGGCUGCUGGCAC